AACGAACGCUGGCGGCAUGCCUAACACAUGCAAGUCGAACGAGACCUUCGGGUCUAGUGGCGCACGGGUGCGUAACGCGUGGGAACCUGCCUUUAGGUUCGGAAUAACUCAGAGAAAUUUGAGCUAAUACCGGAUAAUGUCUUCGGACCAAAGAUUUAUCGCCUUUAGAUGGGCCCGCGUUGGAUUAGCUAGUUGGUGGGGUAAAGGCCUACCAAGGCGACGAUCCAUAGCUGGUCUGAGAGGAUGAUCAGCCACACUGGGACUGAGACACGGCCCAGACUCCUACGGGAGGCAGCAGUGGGGAAUAUUGGACAAUGGGCGAAAGCCUGAUCCAGCAAUGCCGCGUGAGUGAUGAAGGCCUUAGGGUUGUAAAGCUCUUUUACCCGAGAUGAUAAUGACAGUAUCGGGAGAAUAAGCUCCGGCUUAACUCCGUGCCAGCAGCCGCGGUAAAGUGACU
rnacentral:rRNA from 1 species